rnacentral:rRNA from 1 species
UACGUAGGGUGCGAGUGUUGUCCGGAAUUAUUGGGCGUAAAGAGCUCGUAGGCGGCCUGUUACGUCUGCUGUGAAAUCCCGGGGCUUAACCCCGGGCGUGCAGUGGAUACGGGCAGACUAGAGGUAUGCAGGGGAGAACGGAAUUCCUGGUGUAGCGGUGAAAUGCGCAGAUAUCAGGAGGAACACCAGUGGCGAAGGCGGCUCACUGGCCCGGUACUGACGCUGAGGUGCGAAAGCGUGGGGAGCAAACAGG